GGACUACACGGGUAUCUAAUCCUGUUUGAUCCCCUUGCUUUCGCGCUUCAGCGUCAGGUGUAAGCUAGAAAACCGCCUUCGCCACCGGUGUUCUUCCACAUAUCUACGCAUUUCACCGCUACUUGUGGAAUUCCGUUUUCUCCGCCUACCCUCUAGACAGCGCAGUUUCAAAUGCAGCUCCGAGGUUGAGCCUCGGAAUUUCACAUCUGACUUGCGCGGCCGCCUACGCGCCCUUUACGCCCAAUAAAUCCGAUUAAUGCUUGCACCCUCCGUAUUACCGCGGCUGCUGGCAC
rnacentral:rRNA from 1 species